UGGGGGAUAUUGCACAAUGGGCGAAAGCCUGAUGCAGCGACGCCGCAUGGGGGAUGAAGGCCUUCGGGUUGUAAACUUCUUUUGCUCUGAACAAGGCAUGCUAAUGGGUGUGUUGAGUGUAGGGGUUGAUUAGCGCCGGCUAACUACGUGCCAGCAGCCGCGGUAAUACGUAGGGCGCGAGCGUUGUCCGGAAUUAUUGGGCGUAAAGGGCUUGUAGGUGGCUGGUUGCGUCUGUCGUGAAAGCUCAUGGCUUAACUGUGGGUUUGCGGUGGGUACGGGCUGGCUUGAGUGCAGUAGGGGAGGCUGGAAUUCCUGGUGUAGCGGUGGAAUGCGCAGAUAUCAGGAGGAAUACCGGUGGCGAAGGCGGGUCUCUGGGCUGUUACUGACACUGAGGAGCGAAAGCAUGGGGAGCGAACAGG
rnacentral:rRNA from 1 species